rfam:Nicotiana sylvestris Nsyl_contig19142, whole genome shotgun sequence.
GUGUUCAUAAAAAGGAGAGAUGGUUGGCAUCUCCCCCGGCAGGGACGGGAACAGCCUUCGGGCUUUACCUGUUACCAGACACAUCCGGUCUUUU